ensembl:lncRNA
AACAAACCUGACAAUAUCGGUAUCUUGCCUUCUUAGUUUCUAGCAGCACCAGCCACCACUGGACUAUGGUUACAGCACUUGGAUCGGGAUGAUUUUCACAGACCACUACCACAACAACCCUGUCAUGGUGUGUUUCUGCCAUCUUCUCCUGGAGAGACAACAGAGGACCACAGAGGCAGAAUCGUACUCCACGUUCCACAACACACCUUCGCCAGAUUCAGCCCGUGGAAGCAGGGCCAGGCGGUGAUGGAUGCUCCUCUACACCCUGAUGAAGAACCCACGACUGAUCCUCCUGAGGAAGAACAGGACCUCCUCCAGUCCCACUCACCAGGACACUGUUGUCCAAGCCUGGCUGCUGGCCUCUCAGACCGAACAGAUGGGACAGGCACCAGAGACGACAGCCACAGCCGUUACAUCAGAUCAGACGACGGCCAAUGGGCAGGCAUUAACUGACUGAUUCUGCUCAUGGCUUAUACAUGCGCAGCCUGAAAUAGUGUAGUACAAUAAUGUGACAUAACAUUUAGUAGGCCUACACACAUUUCGAGGACACCUUUUUGGCUCAUGGGUGCUACAUUUGAUACUACAGGCCAAGCUCUUACAAUGCAUUGUUUUGUAUGUGAUGAAUCAUGGGAAAUGGGGAUAACAACUGAAAUGUGUCUUCUGCAUUUAACCCAACCCCUCUGAAUCAGAGAGGUGCCGGGGGCUGGCUUAAUUGACAUCUACAUCUUUGGCACCCAGAGAACAGUGGGUUAACUGCCUUGCUUAGGGGCAGAACAACAGAUUCUUACCUUGUCAGCUCGGGGAUUCUAUCCAGCAAACUUUUGGUUACUGGGCCAAUGUUCUAACCAUUAGGCUAAUAUGAUUAAUGCAUUAUAAAUUCGGAAAUACCUACAUAAUUACUCCUACUGGGAAAAAUGAUAGGACAAAUUGGACAUAGUUAUGCUUUUUACCUCAUAACGGUCCAUUUGUUUUUACUAGGCCACGUAGCCACAGGAAGUAGAGGUGCUGAGGGUGUUGCAGCACUCUAAAAAAUCUGAAUAAAAAAUAUACAGUACCAGUCAAAAGUUUGGACACACCUACUCCAACCUCGGCCAACAGCUCCGCCCCCCCGGCAGCUCCUCGCCCAAGCCUCUCCAGGUUCUCCUUUACCCAAAUCCAG